GACGAACGCUGGCGGCGUGCUCAACACAUGCAAGUCGAACGGAAAGGCCCUGCUUUUGUGGGGUGCCCGAGUGGCGAACGGGUGAGUAACACGUGAGUAACCUGCUCUUGACUUUGGGAUAACAUCAGGAAACUGGGGCUAAUACCGGAUAGGAGCUCCUGCUGCAUGGUGGGGGUUGGAAAGUUUCGGCGGUUGGGGAUGGAUGGGCGGGUUAUCAGCUUGGUGGUGGGGUAGUGGCUUACCAAGGCUUUGACGGGUAGCCGGCCUGGGUGGGUGACCGGCCACAUUGGGACUGAGGUACGGCCCAGAGGCCUACGGGAGGCAGCAGUGGGGAGUAUUGCACAAUGGGAGGGAGCCUGAUGCAGCAACGCCGCGUGCGGGAUGACGGCCUUCGGGUAGUGAACCGCUUUCGCCUGUGACGAAGCGUGAGUGACGGUAAUGAGUAAAGAAGCACCGGCUAACUACGUG
rnacentral:rRNA from 1 species